rnacentral:rRNA from 1 species
CCUACGGGAGGCUGCAGUGGGGAAUAUUGGACAAUGGGGGCAACCCUGAUCCAGCCAUGCCGCGUGUGUGAAGAAGGCCCUCGGGUUGUAAAGCACUUUCAGUGAGGAAGAACGCCUGGUGGUUAAUACCCAUCAGGAAAGACAUCACUCACAGAAGAAGCACCGGCUAACUCCGUGCCAGCAGCCGCGGUAAUACGGAGGGUGCGAGCGUUAAUCGGAAUUACUGGGCGUAAAGCGCGCGUAGGUGGCUUGAUAAGCCGGUUGUGAAAGCCCCGGGCUCAACCUGGGAACGGCAUCUGGAACUGUCAAGCUAGAGUGCAGGAGAGGAAGGUAGAAUUCCCGGUGUAGCGGUGAAAUGCGUAGAGAUCGGGAGGAAUACCAGUGGCGAAGGCGGCCUUCUGGACUGACACUGACACUGAGGUGCGAAAGCGUGGGUAGCAAACAGGAUUAGAUACCCGAGUAGUC